UGCAGCAGUGGGGAAUAUUGGGCAAUGGGCGAGUGCCUGAUCCAGCCAUAUAGUAAGAGUGAAAAACUUUAAUAAAACUCUAAAGAAAAGAAAAAUAAUGAUAUAACUUUUCUACUAAUCCUGACUAAUCUCGUGCCAGCAGUCGCGGUAAUACGAGGAGGAUAAGCGUAAUUCAUUAUAUCUAGGUGUAAAGGGUCUGUAGGCGGCUUCGAGCUAGAGUGAAAAAAAGGAAAGAGGAAUUAAAUAAGUAGGGAUAAAAUCCAUAAAGAUAUUUUAAGAAGAUCAAAGGCGAAGGCAUCUUUCUAUUUAACACUGACGCUAAGAGACUAAAGUGUGGGUAGCGAAAAGGAUUAGAUACCCCAUUAGUCCACAA
rnacentral:rRNA from 2 species